rnacentral:rRNA from 1 species
UACGAAGGGGGCUAGCGUUGCUCGGAAUCACUGGGCGUAAAGCGCACGUAGGCGGACUCUUAAGUCAGGGGUGAAAUCCUGGAGCUCAACUCCAGAACUGCCUUUGAUACUGGGAGUCUUGAGUUCGGGAGAGGUGAGUGGAACUGCGAGUGUAGAGGUGAAAUGCGUAGAUAUCUGGAGGAACACCGGUGGCGAAGGCGGCAUCCUGGACCGACACUGACGCUGAGGAGCGAAAGCGUGGGGAGCAAACGGG